rnacentral:sRNA from 1 species
GCCGGGCGUGGUGGCGGGCGCCUGUAGUCCCAGCUAAUCGGGAGGCUGAGGCAGGAGAGUGGCGUGAACCCAAGAGGCGGAGCUUGCAGUGUGCGGAGAUGGCGCCACUGCACUCCAGCCUGGGCGACAGAGCGAGACUCCGUCAAAAAAAAAAAAAAAAGAACUUUAUUGCUUUUUUUUUUUUUUUUUUUUUUUUUUUGAGGCAGAGUCUCACUGUAUCACCCAGGCUGGAGUGCAGUUGCGUGAUCUCGGCUCACUGCAACCUCCGCCUCUUGGGUUCAAGUGAUUCUCCUGCCUCA